CCCCAGGUGGUGCAGUAGUUAAGCACUUGGCUAGCCUCUUGGUCUGCAAACCUAGAGGUAGUGGGUUCGAAUCCCACCCUGGUAA
rnacentral:tRNA from 1 species